UUGCCAGAUGCUGUCCUGUUGAAAAUUCUUCUUUACGUGAUCCUGGAGGAGGGUGAUGCUACAUUACUAAGUCCGUCUUUGGUUUGUUCCAAAUUCAGAAGUCUGCUGUACUGUAUACAGACUCCUUUCGAAAGAGGGCACAAUCCAGCUGGCUUGACUGAGUAUCUUCUUUUACAGAUUUGAUUAGAGGUUUAAAAGGUGGAACAAAAUGGAGAACAAGUCUAAGCCAUGUCAGGAAUUCAACAAAAUGUACACCCUUCAGACACUGAGACGAGGUUUACAACAACUGCUUACCAGGUCACUGCAGUCACCCGGAUCCAGUACGUAUCCAGACCAGAUGGUGGAUCGCACCUAG